AAAUACAAUAAUAUUAUUUAUUAAUUAGAAUUGAUUAUACAAAUUAAUUAAUUAGAAUAGAUUAUAGGCCUACAAUUUGAUUAUAAAAGUGAUUAUACAGAACUAAUAUAUAGAUCAACUAUUAUAGUUAUAUAAAAGAUUACAUUAUAUAAGACUUAUAUGAUAAAAUAAUUAAACAACAAAAAGGAAACGGAUGUGGGUAGGCCCCAGGACCUCACACUUUAUUUAACCAAUCCGUCUUUCGAGAGAGAAGGAAAAUCGUUAAGUAUAAUGCUAAUCCAUCCCAAUGAAAAAGGAUACCGCCGCCAUAUAAAUAAAUCAUGCCCGUUGAAAGAAAGAAAACCAUUCAAGGAAAAUCCAUCUCUAGUUGGAAGAAAGGAAACGGAAAUCGUAAAGAUUCAUAGCCGGUCAGGGGCAAAGAAUUUCCUGUCAAGAAAAUCCAUACGCUGCGAAAUAAUGUUGCAAUUGCACCAAAACAUUUUGCCGAAUAUUCACCGCAUUUCUUAUUA
rnacentral:lncRNA from 1 species